AGCGAACGCUGGCGGCAGGCUUAACACAUGCAAGUCGAGCGGAUGUAGCAAUACAUCAGCGGCAGACGGGUGAGUAACGCGUGGGAACAUACCUUUUGGUUCGGAACAACACAGGGAAACUUGUGCUAAUACCGGAUAAGCCCUUACGGGGAAAGAUUUAUCGCCGAAAGAUUGGCCCGCGUCUGAUUAGCUAGUUGGUGAGGUAACGGCUCACCAAGGCGACGAUCAGUAGCUGGUCUGAGAGGAUGAUCAGCCACAUUGGGACUGAGACACGGCCCAAACUCCUACGGGAGGCAGCAGUGGGGAAUAUUGGACAAUGGGCGCAAGCCUGAUCCAGCCAUGCCGCGUGAGUAAUGAAGGCCCUAGGGUUGUAAAGCUCUUUUGUGCGGGAAGAUAAUGACGGUCC
rnacentral:rRNA from 1 species